GCCGGGGUAGCUCAGUCGGCAGAGCGGCUCACUCGUAAUGAGCAGGUCAAGGGUUCGAUUCCCUUCCCCGGCUCCA
rnacentral:tRNA from 1 species